rnacentral:lncRNA from 1 species
CAUUCUACAAAACGGAGAAAAAAUUUCAAAUACAAAGGGGAGUCUUCUCUCUCUCUUACCAUUCUCUUUCUCUAAUGCCUCUCUUCCACUCUAAACCAACAAAAAAAUCAACCCCCUCCAUAAUUUUUCUCUCUAAAAAACAUAAACACAACGCACAACUUCUCCAAAAGAAACAUACUUUGACACAAAAACAUACACAAAAAUACACACAUAAUCAGAUUUUCUUCCUCCUUUCUCUCUCACAAAUUACACCAAAUCAGCUACCUUUUUCCGAUUCCGGCGACCACCCAACAAUGCCCAACUGCCGCCCUUUUCACUUUUUUUAUUAUUUCUUCUUAUUCGCUGCUGCUCGAUGGAAAAUGUAUAGAUCCGAUCGGAUCUGCGCCUCUUCGGUGUUGCUCCGGUGAAACCCGUUAAGGCAACACCGGUGACCCAUCCUUUCUUUGUUUCUUUAAGUUUUAGAUCUGGCCGGAAUCUAUGUUUGGCGUUGCUCCGAAUAAAUUCCAUUGAAGAGAUGCCGGUUACCUCCUCUUUUGUUUCAGUCUUAGACGAUUUUCUUUUCCUCUUUGUUUGUUCUUCAUAUUGUUGUUUCAAAUACUAUUUGUUGUGGGUUGGUGCUUUUGUUUACUUGUGAUGCUUGAUAGUAAUAUUUUAUUAUGCUUGUUCUUGAUUGAUUUUUUUUAGAUCUGAUCGGAGUUAGCCAUGGGUUCUUUAAUAAUUUACUUUGGCUGAUUGUUGUUGCUCUAUUUAAUACUGAUUUGGAUAUUUGGGGUGAUUGUUCUGUUCAAAAGUUAAUGACUUUUUGCCAUUUUUUCAUGGUCCUACAUUAUUCCAUUACUGCAUUUGCAUAUUUUAGUAUUUUACCCUUAUAUUGAUUAUCUGGAUAUUUGACUGAUAUAAUGAACAGAUACUACACAUUUUGGUCAAUGAAAAAAUUAUUAUUAAUUUUGAUGCCUCCGUAAAUAAAAGAUGGACUUUACGUAUACAAAUACGUAAAAAUAAAAUAUUUUUGGGCGAUGACGAAGUUUUUAUAACAUCACGAUAACACAAGGAUUUUACGAUUCGUGUCUUGGCAAGGCGAUUUAGGAUGACCGAUUCGUCGAGCAACCAUUUCGCAGCCAUGGCGAGUCUAAAACUUAAUCGGAGCCCACACGUAUUUAAAAUUUAAUUUGAGAUACUUUUUAACGAAAAUUACAUUUGUACAUAUCUUUUUUUUAUAAUUAUUUAUUUGUUACUAACAUUUUUUUACAAGUGUUUGUACAGGUUAUUUGGAAUACUCAUCGGGAGUUGUAUUCAAAGAGACCUUUUAAUUUCAUAUUGCAUUUUAUAUUUAUAUAUUUGUACAAAUAUCAUUAUAGUGAAAACUUUAUUUUUGGGGCAUUGGGCGGGGAUGUUCUUUAUUUAUACAAUUAUUAUCAUGUGUUUAGGCAAAUUCAG